GUUUUUUCCUUGCUUGAUACCCAUCCUGAGCUGUUUAUGUCCUUGUGCCUCUCUUCACAAACCUGCUGUUCAAGGAAAAGUUAGUGGAAGCCGUUAUCCAUGUCAACAUUGAACCAGAAGAGCAUGAUUUGCAAGAGGAACUGCUACACAUUUUACACUUAUUUACUCCAACCUUUCCUGCUAAUUCCAGGUUUAUUGGAGAAGACAGAAUGACUGAUGACAGAAGCACCUGCGAUCUUCUUCUUGUGCUGUGGGCUUCAGGGGAAUCCAAGAGUUCCUGGCAAAGAGGAUCUAAUGAAGACUGACAUUGAUCAAUAAAGGCAUGGGGUUAAAAGAGCAACAAUAAGAAUACCUUAAAGUUGUACUCAGAAGAUAGGAGCUAUCUCUGCUUCCUUUCAGAAACAUCAUUAUUACCUUGAAUCAGAGCCUGCCAGAAGCAUUUUGCACAACAAUUGUAAGAAGAGACUGAAACUUCAGAAACACUUUUAGAUCUGCAUUUCCAAACAACAACCAAAACUGCUGGAUGCAAGGUGGCUGCUUACACUACAGACCUGUUACAUAUAUUCCAACCCCAUAAUGCUAGGGGUUUACAAGGAUAAUAUUUGUGAACUUUCACAUUCUAUGUAGCGGUCACAAUGAAGUCCUCUAAAGGCAUCCUUUGAUGGAAGCAAUUUGGACGUUUAUGAUGGCUCAAAGCAAGGUUCCAAGCAAUGAGACUACAUUAGUGUAGAUCACCAAUAUAAAUAGAACAGCUAUCAUAUCAUAUCAGUUCUGUCCACAGCACGUGAGUAGGAGAAGUUCUGAAAUAAGAUCAUCAGGAACAAAGAAAGGAGUAUUUCAGAAUAUAUUCAGUUGAUUCCAGAGGUAGCCAAUCCUGCUUGAUUGAAUGUUUGCAAAAUUCAAUUCUCUGUUUGCAGAUUUAGGUACAGCAGGUCUUUGAAUAACAGUCAUUUCAUUCAACAUUGUUUCCUUAUAACGUUGAUGAGAAAAAAAGAAUAUAUAUAUACAUAUAUAUUCCCACUGGGGUUCACUGUCUGGGUAGAGUCUACAUGUUUUCCCCAGGUCUGGAUGGGUUUUUUUCUGGGUACCCAGGUCUCCCUGACAUUCCAAAGUUAUGCACAUUCAGUUCAUCUAAUGGUCCCAGUCAGAGUGAGUGCGGGGGGUCAGUGAGUACACCUGGUGAUACUACCUGUGUAGGGAUGGUUGUUUCCUGUCUGGUGUCCUAAGCUGCAGGGAGAAGCUCAGGCCACCUGCAACCCUAAACUGGAAUAAGCAGAUCUCGAUGGAAAGUUCAAGACAAAAUCAGUUUAAGAAUUUAGAAAAUCUUAUCGCUUCUCGGCCUUUUGGCUAAGAUCAAAUGAAGAAUUUAGAAAAUCUUGGGACUUCUUUAUUCCAUCUGUGCAUACGGUACUAUUUAUAAUUUGGGGGUUGGGCUUCUGGUUUGUAUUAUAUUUAGUUUUAUAUAAGUCAGAGACUAUAUGCCUAAAUCAACAUAUGCCCAGUGGUUGAAUGGUGGGCUCAAUUUUUUCCAGUGAAAAUAUAUUGCUUGGAAAACAAAGUAACUGACUCAAUUUUAUGAUGGCUAAAUCCAAAUUUCUUAAAUUGUAUACUUUCUCUGUCAAUCAAUAUCGAUGUUUUAAAAUUAAUAUCAUGCCCUUACAAAAUGAUCCUUAUAUCAACUGCAUUUGCAUGUUUUUGUUUGUUUGAUGACAAAGUCUUGCU
rnacentral:lncRNA from 1 species